rnacentral:rRNA from 1 species
GCAAGUCGAACGAUGAAGCCCAGCUUGCUGGGUGGAUUAGUGGCGAACGGGUGAGUAACACGUGAGUAACCUGCCCCCGACUCUGGGAUAAGCCCGGGAAACUGGGUCUAAUACCGGAUAUGACCUCGCACCGCAUGGUGCGGGGUGGAAAGAUUUAUCGGUGGGGGAUGGACUCGCGGCCUAUCAGCUUGUUGGUGAGGUAAUGGCUCACCAAGGCGACGACGGGUAGCCGGCCUGAGAGGGUGACCGGCCACACUGGGACUGAGACACGGCCCAGACUCCUACGGGAGGCAGCAGUGGGGAAUAUUGCACAAUGGGCGAAAGCCUGAUGCAGCGACGCCGCGUGAGGGAUGACGGCCUUCGGGUUGUAAACCUCUUUCAGUAGGGAAGAAGCGAAAGUGACGGUACCUGCAGAAGAAGCGCCGGCUAACUACGUGCCAGCAGCCGCGGUAAUACGUAGGGCGCAAGCGUUAUCCGGAUUUAUUGGGCGUAAAGAGCUCGUAGGCGGUUUGUCGCGUCUGCCGUGAAAGUCCGAGGCUCAACCUCGGAUCUGCGGUGGGUACGGGCAGACUAGAGUGAUGUAGGGGAGACUGGAAUUCCUGGUGUAGCGGUGAAAUGCGCAGAUAUCAGGAGGAACACCGAUGGCGAAGGCAGGUCUCUGGGCAUUUACUGACGCUGAGGAGCGAAAGCAUGGGGAGCGAACAGGAUUAGAUACCCUGGUAGUCCAUGCCGUAAACGUUGGGCACUAGGUGUGGGGGACAUUCCACGUUUUCCGCGCCGUAGCUAACGCAUUAAGUGCCCCGCCUGGGGAGUACGGCCGCAAGGCUAAAACUCAAAGGAAUUGACGGGGGCCCGCACAAGCGGCGGAGCAUGCGGAUUAAUUCGAUGCAACGCGAAGAACCUUACCAAGGCUUGACAUGUGCCAGACCGCCUCAGAGAUGGGGUUUCCCUUCGGGGCUGGG